GACGAACGCUGGCGGCGUGCCUAACACAUGCAAGUCGAACGGAAAGGCCCAGCUUGCUGGGUGCUCGAGUGGCGAACGGGUGAGUAACACGUGGGUGAUCUGCCUCUAACUUCGGGAUAAGCUUGGGAAACUGGGUCUAAUACCGGAUAGGACAAUCGUUUAGUGUCGGGUGUGGAAAGUUUUCUCGGUUAGGGAUGAGCCCGCGGCCUAUCAGCUUGUUGGUGGGGUAAUGGCCUACCAAGGCGUCGACGGGUAGCCGGCCUGAGAGGGUGGACGGCCACAUUGGGACUGAGAUACGGCCCAGACUCCUACGGGAGGCAGCAGUGGGGAAUAUUGCACAAUGGGCGCAAGCCUGAUGCAGCGACGCCGCGUGGGGGAUGACGGCCUUCGGGUUGUAAACCUCUUUCGACAGGGACGAAGCUUUGGUGACGGUACCUGUAUAAGAAGCACCGGCUAACUACGUGCCAGCAGCCGCAGUAA
rnacentral:rRNA from 1 species